rnacentral:rRNA from 1 species
GACGAACGCUGGCGGCGUGCCUAACACAUGCAAGUCGAGCGGGGACAUUGCGACAGACAUGAAGUUUUCGGAUGGAUUGGAAGAUGUAAUGUUCUAGCGGCGGACGGGUGAGUAACGCGUGAGCAACCUGUCCCUUACAGGGGGAUAACACAGCGAAAGUUGUACUAAUACCGCAUAAGACCACAGGAUGACAUCGUCCAGGGGUCAAAGGAGUAAUCCGGUAAGGGGUGGGCUCGCGUCCGAUUAGAUAGUUGGUGAGGUAACGGCCCACCAAGUCGACGAUCGGUAGCCGACCUGAGAGGGUGAUCGGCCACAUUGGGACUGAGACACGGCCCAAACUCCUACGGGAGGCAGCAGUGGGGAAUAUUGGGCAAUGGGGGAAACCCUGACCCAGCAACGCCGCGUGAGGGAAGAAGGUUUUCGGAUCGUAAACCUCUGUCCUUGGUGAAGAGAAAGAGACGA